rnacentral:lncRNA from 1 species
CUCGCAUGCAUCAACGAGUGUCUGAUGCCAAAUGCUAAAAUAGAAGUUGGGAGUAUCGCGUUUGUCAGAACCCACGCUGUUCUCAGGGCAGGUCUGCCAGUUUUGACUAGCAAAAGUUACUUUUCUUUUUCGUAGCAGGUUAGAAGAAUUUACGCAACUGGUUAGGAUAAUUAACAUGGCAGGUUAGGAGAAUUGUCAAAAUUCAACAAAGAACCAGCUAGAAAAGGGGACAAUAUUUUUAGCAGCAUAAUCAGACCCUCCCAGGAACAACACCUCAGUAUUAGCCAGUCCCUAGUGGUAGAGGGCAGCUCUGUGACUGACCUGCAGCAGCAAUGCCAACCCAGCAGUGAAGACCUACCCCUGGUACAGAGUCAGUGGGAGCAAAAUAGUCCCCAUAGAGUCUAGAUCUCAGUGUCUGGUUCUGCAGGAUAUCAGUGAGAGCGGACUGUUCUGUUGUGAAGCACAGAAUAGCUAUGGCAAAGAUAGGUCCAAGAUCUUUGUGCAUCUGCACCACUGCACCUCCACACCUGCAGGUGUUCUGUGCCAAAAGGGGAAAGUCUUGAUUCCCAGCGGUAUAGAGGCUCUGAGGGGACCUUAUGUGCUCAUUCCAUGUAGAUUUACAUUGGAGCCUAAAUUUGAGUCAUCCCUCUCUCGUCCAUGUAAAGGAACAUGGAAUAGAAGAUUUGUGAAACCAGUGUUAAUGGCACCCACAAGAGAUGACUUGCUUGAGAAGGACUGCACAAACACUCCUCCCCAGCCCACUCUAAUCCCAGCUACAGUGAAUGUGAAUGAGGGAGAAUCAGUGAGUAUGAUCUGCUCUACUGUAGCCCCAUGUCCCAUUCUCCUUCCAACUCUGACAUGGACCCCCAGACUAGGUGACAGUGUGGAGAGGAAGAAAAACAAGAGACAGGACCAAACUGAAGUCAUGAGUUCUACUCUGACCUUCUACUGCAUCAUACCUCCAUCAUGGACAGAAAAUCUUCUGCACUGCUCUCUACAAACGAGAAGCUGGC